rnacentral:lncRNA from 1 species
CACUUUAUUUCUUUAUUAUAUCCUUGCAUUCCUGCUUUAGAUAAUUAAUAUUGAAUUAAAAUCUUUGUCUUGUUCAUCAUAAGUAAUUAAUUAAGCCUAAAAUUUUUAGAAACCCAAUUCACCCCUCCUCUUGGGUUGCAUAGCUGGGUAACACAUCUGCUGUAGAAGCUCGGAUGGGAACUUUCUGUUGGAGAAGUCCGAUUUCAUGAGGAAUCUGACAGAGGGUCGAUCGAUAGUGGACUUCGGAUGGCGUUGGAGAGGUUUGUCCGCUGGAGGAGUCUGGAGGAUCUUGUGGAAGUCCGGUUGGCAUUGUUGAAGUUCGGCUGACGCUAUUGAAGGUUGAUGGCUGGGGAGGUACGACAGACAUCGGAGGCGAUCGGCCAUUGUAGAAAUCCAGCUGCUGAAGCCCGUCUGUUGUAGAAGUUUAUCCGAAAUCCAUCCGCUAUGGAAGUUCAGAUGGAGUUCGGUUCUUGUAAAAGUCCGGAUGGGGACCGCUUAUUGAAGAAGCUCGGCUGAAGUCCAUCUGUAAUAGGAGUUUGGAAAGAAUUUGUUUAUAAUAGAAGCUCGGAUGGAAUUCGCUUACAGUAGGAAUCCGGAGUAGACUGCUUGCAGUAGAAGUUCGGAGUAGACCGCUUGCAGUAAAAGUUUGGAGUAGAGA